AUACUGUGAUGGUUGCAUAGUUCAACAGAUUGAAUCGUGAAAGAGAGAACAUUUGACUGAGUGUCU
rnacentral:snoRNA from 1 species